UUUAGUUUAAUAAACAUUAAAUUGCAAAUUUAAAAUUCUAAUUAAAAAGCAA
rnacentral:tRNA from 1 species